rnacentral:rRNA from 1 species
GACGCAAGUCUGAUGGAGCAACGCCGCGUGAGUGAAGAAGGUUUUCGGAUCGUAAAGCUCUGUUGUUGGUGAAGAAGGAUAGAGGUAGUAACUGGCCUUUAUUUGACGGUAAUCAACCAGAAAGUCACGGCUAACUACGUGCCAGCAGCCGCGGUAAUACGUAGGUGGCAAGCGUUGUCCGGAUUUAUUGGGCGUAAAGCGAGCGCAGGCGGAAAAAUAAGUCUAGUGUGAAAGGCCUCGGCUUAACCGAGGAAUUGCAUCGGAAACUGUUUUUCUUGAGUGCAGAAGAGGAGAGUGGAACUUCAUGUGUAGCGGUGGAAUGCGUAGAUAUAUGGAAGAACACCAGUGGCGAAGGCGGCUCUCUGGUCUGCAACUGACGCUGAGGCUCGAAAGCAUGGGUAGCGAACAGGAUUAGAUACCCUGGUAGUCCAUGCCGUAAACGAUGAGUGCUAAGUGUUGGGAGGUUUCCGCCUCUCAGUGCUGCAGCUAACGCAUUAAGCACUCCGCCUGGGGAGUACGACCGCAAGGUUGAAACUCAAAGGAAUUGACGGGGGCCCGCACAAGCGGUGGAGCAUGUGGUUUAAUUCGAAGCAACGCGAAGAACCUUACCAGGUCUUGACAUCUAGCGCCAAUCGUAGAGAUACGAUGUUCCCUUCGGGGACGCUAAGACAGGUGGUGCAUGG